GAUGAACGCUGGCGGCGUGCCUAAUACAUGCAAGUCGAGCGAACAGACGAGGAGCUUGCUCCUCUAACGUUAGCGGCGGACGGGUGAGUAACACGUGGAUAACCUACCUAUAAGACUGGGAUAACUUCGGGAAACCGGAGCUAAUACCAGAUAAUAUAUUGAACCGCAUGGUUCAAUAGUGAAAGACGGUUUUGCUGUCACUUAUAGAUGGAUCCGCGCCGCAUUAGCUAGUUGGUAAGGUAACAGCUUACCAAGGCAACGAUGCGUAGCCGACCUGAGAGGGUGAUCGGCCACACUGGAACUGAGACACGGUCCAGACUCCUACGGGAGGCAGCAGUAGGGAAUCUUCCGCAAUGGGCGAAAGCCUGACGGAGCGACGCCGCGUGAGUGAUGAAGGUCUUCGGAUCGUAAAACUCUGUUAUUAGGGAAGAACAAAUGUGUAAGUAACUAUGCACGUCUUGACGGUACCUAAUCAGAAAGCCACGGCUAACUACGUG
rnacentral:rRNA from 1 species